CGGAAUCGCUAGUAAUCGUGGAUCAGAAUGCCACGGUGAAUACGUUCCCGGGCCUUGUACACACCGCCCGUCACACCAUGGGAGUGGGUUGCAAAAGAAGUAGGUAGCUUAACCUUCGGGAGGGCGCUUACCACGUUGUGAUUCAUGACUGGGGUGAAGUCGUAACAAGGUAACCGUAGGGGAACCUGCGGUUGGAUCACCUCCUUA
rnacentral:ncRNA from 1 species